UCGACUUUUCGACUCUCUUAGCGCCCCCCUCUCCCUCCUCGCACAAAAACCUUCGAGCAAUGCCCUUCUCUGUCACAGCCGUCUGUCUAGCACCGACUCCUCUUUCACAACCGUCAGCCAUCGUCGCACAGCUUCACCAUUAGCCAUCUCGUCAGUUCGUCCGUGAAGCUUCUGCGUCAAAUCGUCUGUAUCCUGGGCUUCAGAUCUGUACAGAUCUAAAUUGCUACAGUGUCGUCACUGCUCCUCCACCAUAAGCCAUCACCGCCACACUGUUGCUCUAUCGCUAAGCUGCUGUUUGGUACCAUCCCUUCUUCUCUCCAUCUCUUCUGUGACACGCUCUUCGGAUGGAUUAUAUCUAAUUCGAUUCUCGAAUACCUCAUAAAAGGGUAAGCAAAGGGAAGCAAAAAUUCAACAUUGAUCUCACGCCAUACCAUGAAUAGAAAGGAACUUGUAUUACCAUUUUGUUAUGUCAAAAAACAAGCCUCUAAAAGAUCCUUUGGUUCUUUAGUGAUGACUUCAUUUAUGAGCAUGGUUUUAUUACAAAAUGCAAGGUAACUUUUUGUAAUUAAUAUUGCCUGUGAAAGGAGGUGUAAGAUUGAUGUGAUUAUUUUGGUACUGUGGAAAUAAUAAUAAAAAAUUAGGAUGUCAUAUUUAGGAAUCUAAUGAUAAAUAAAAAGGGACAUAAAUGACAAAGAAAAUUCUUAUAAACUCAGGUUGUAUGUCUACAUUAUAGUUAUGUAAACUGUAGUGUAUAUUGAGAUGUUGAAAUUUUAUAUAGGGUAAAAUUAUAUAUUUAUUGAUAAUUUUGUUAUUAUGCUU